UUCUGCCGCAGGUUCCCGGACACAGCUACCGUGUCCCGGGUGUGUGGGCUGCCCAGCCGCUGUUACCAUGCGCUAGGGAUCCGGCAAAGAACCACUAUGCUGACUUGCAGAGAUUCUUUCAUGGAGUCUGACAGCAGGAAUGCAGCAGCCUGAAUUCUUACACUAGGAAAGGCCUUGGAAAAUUUUGAUGAAAAUUAAAUAGUUCCACUGCUAUUGGGA